rnacentral:rRNA from 1 species
AGUGAACGCUGGCGGUAGGCCUAACACAUGCAAGUCGAACGGCAGCACAGUAAGAGCUUGCUCUUACGGGUGGCGAGUGGCGGACGGGUGAGGAAUACAUCGGAAUCUACUUUUUCGUGGGGGAUAACGUAGGGAAACUUACGCUAAUACCGCAUACGACCUACGGGUGAAAGCAGGGGAUCUUCGGACCUUGCGCGAUUGAAUGAGCCGAUGUCGGAUUAGCUAGUUGGCGGGGUAAAGGCCCACCAAGGCGACGAUCCGUAGCUGGUCUGAGAGGAUGAUAAGCCACACUGGAACUGAGACACGGUCCAGACUCCUACGGGAGGCAGCAGUGGGGAAUAUUGGACAAUGGGCGCAAGCCUGAUCCAGCCAUACCGCGUGGGUGAAGAAGGCCUUCGGGUUGUAAAGCCCUUUUGUUGGGAAAGAAAAGCAGCAGGUUAAUACCCCGCUGUUCUGACGGUACCCAAAGAAUAAGCACCGGCUAACUUCG